rnacentral:rRNA from 1 species
CACUCCUACGGGAGGCAGCAGUGGGGAAUUUUGGACAAUGGGCGAAAGCCUGAUCCAGCAAUGCCGCGUGAGUGAAGAAGGCCUUCGGGUUGUAAAGCUCUUUUGUCAGGGAAGAAACGGUGAAAGCUAAUAUCUUUUGCUAAUGACGGUACCUGAAGAAUAAGCACCGGCUAACUACGUGCCAGCAGCCGCGGUAAUACGUAGGGUGCAAGCGUUAAUCGGAAUUACUGGGCGUAAAGCGUGCGCAGGCGGUUUUGUAAGUCUGAUGUGAAAUCCCCGGGCUCAACCUGGGAAUUGCAUUGGAGACUGCAAGGCUAGAAUCUGGCAGAGGGGGGUAGAAUUCCACGUGUAGCAGUGAAAUGCGUAGAUAUGUGGAGGAACACCGAUGGCGAAGGCAGCCCCCUGGGUCAAGAUUGACGCUCAUGCACGAAAGCGUGGGGAGCAAACAGGAUUAGAUACCCCUGGUAGUCCCAUG